rnacentral:rRNA from 1 species
UGAAUACGAGAUGCUACGGCGUCGAAGCAGUCUAUGUCAUACUUCCAAGAAAAGCUCGCACUGUCAUAAACAAAUAAUGCCUGUACCAUAACCGACACAGGUGGGUAGGUAGAGUAUACUAAGGGGCGCGAGAUAACUCUCUCUAAGGAACUCGGCAAAAUGACUCCGUAACUUCGGGAGAAGGAGUGCCUUAUUUAUAAGGUUGCAAUAACAAGAUCCAAGCAACUGUUUAUCAAAAACACAGGUCUCCGCUAAGUCGUAAGACGAUGUAUGGGGGCUGACGCCUGCCCAGUGCCAGAAGGUUAAAGAAGUUGGUUAGCAUUCGCGAAGCUGAUAACUGAAGCCCUGGUGAACGGCGGCCGUAACGAUAACGGUCCUAAGGUAGCGAAAUUCCUUGUCGGGUAAGUUCCGACCCGCACGAAAGGCGUAAUGAUUUGGAUACUGUCUCGGAGAGGGGCUCGGUGAAAUAGACUCGUCUGUGAAGAUGCGGACUACCUGCACCAGGACAGAAAGACCCUAUGAAGCUUUACUGUAACUUGAGAUUGAAAUUGGACUUUACUUGCGCAGUAUAGGUGGGAGGCGUUGAUAAUAUUCUUGCGGGAUUAUUUGAGCCAUCAGUGAGAUACCACUCUUGUAAUGUUAGAUUUCUAACUUUGUAUCAUUAUCUGGUCAAAGGACAGUUUCAGGCGGGCAGUUUGACUGGGGCGGUCGCCUCCUAAACGGUAACGGAGGCGCACAAAGGUUUCCUCUGAACGGGUAGAAAUCGUAUCUAGAGUGUAAAGGCAUAAGGAAGCUUGACUGUGAGACCUACAAGUCGAGCAGGGACGAAAGUCGGUCUUAGUGAUCUGACGGUGCUGAGUGGAAAGGCCGUCACUCAACGGAUAAAAGUUACUCUAAGGAUAACAGGCUGAUCUCCCCCAAGAGUUCACAUCGACGGGGAGGUUUGGCACCUCGAUGUCGGCUCAUCGCAUCCUGGGGCGGUAGUACGUCCCAAGGGUUGGGCUGUUCGCCCAUGAAAGCGGUACGCGAGCUGGGUUCAGAACGUCGUGAGACAGUUCGGUCCAUAUCCGGUGUAGGCGUUAGAAUAUUGAGAGGAGCCUUCUUUAGUACGAGAGGACCGAGAAGGACAUACCUCUGGUGUACCAGUUAUCGUGCCAACGGUAAACGCUGGGUAGCUAUGUAUGGAGUGGAUAACCGCUGAAAGCAUCUAAGUGGGAAGCCCACCUCAAGAUAAG